rnacentral:ncRNA from 1 species
CUAGCGGUCAGCGCAGGAUUGCCGAGCAAUCACCGCCCAGACUUUCGCGACGUGCCCCGCGCGUCGCUCCCGGCAACGCCGGAAUCUACCAACCCGCCGGUGAACUUCACCGGC